AACAGAAUUUUCAUUGCUUCUUUCAGUGUAUCUGUGUAAAUCCACAAACCUCUGCCAGGAAGCAGAUUAAAAAAAAGGAAAAAAAAAGUUGGCAGUUUAAGAAGAAAUGCCAUACAGAGAGAUGGGGGGGGGCUAAAUGAACACACUCGAUUCUAUUAUUGUAUCCCACUCUAGCUGGAGUGCACGAAUGCCAAGAGCUCUGAUAGAGGAGAACAGUGACAACUGUGACAUCACUGCUCCUUCAGCGCUGUGAGACGGGGCUCGACUCGGCUCUGCACCAGCAGCAGCAACCUAAGGCGAUGGACAGAUGAUGGAUGACUCAUUCUCCGCCACCCACACCACUUCCAGUCGUCAAGAAACUCUCACCGGGCUCCACACGGUGAUCUGGUCACCCCGAGGGGAAGGAUAGACAAGUAGUUGUGAUGUUCAAAGCAAGGAGGUCAGGAGAGAUGUCAUGGUCCGUGGUCUUGUGUGUGGAAUGUGUGAUGCGCGGGUAGCCGCACCCCCAGGCUGGGCUAUCACCGGCACACCUGCUCUCCAUCGGGGUGAUUACCUGAAGAGCUACUUAACCCGCCGCUGACGGAUGCUCCACGCCAGUCCGUUAAUCACCUCUCUGUGGUUUCGAUUGGGCGUUCAGCAUCUGCCACCUGCCUGUCCUCCUGCUCAAUUGGAUCACCCGGUACAUCAUCUGGCCCAUCCACUACCUCCACGGAUUUCCUUCUCACGGACUUCCCUCCCGAGCUCCCACGAUCCCGCUCUAAUCCCUCCCUCGGUCCUGAUUCCGGCUUCCUCGCGUCAUUGUUUCCCCGGGUUUUUUAGUUCCUCGUUUUGCUCCUUUGGUUUUCCCGGGUCGCCUUUUGUUGUUAUAAUAAAUUGUCAUUUUCUGCUAGCGCUUGAGUCUGCGUUUGGAUCCUUUUGUGCACGCGCGCUGCGGCACAUGACAAGAGAGCUACAGCAGAGAGUGUGUACAGUCAUCUUUAAAACACGGUGGAGGCUCUGUCAUGAUUUG
ensembl:lncRNA